rnacentral:lncRNA from 1 species
CCCAGAUGUCCACCCUGCCUUUUCCCUGACUUCCUCCAUCCUGUCCAGCAGGAUGGGCUGGUCAGUGGGACAGCCUCUGUGCACAUUUUGUGGCAAGUAGGAGUGACACAUCAUUCCUGGGAGGCCCCGUGGUUCCUGCCAAACCCAACCCCAGAAUUCUCCCUGAGGUGGUUUUACCAAACCCAUAACCCAGAACUGCUAUUGUGGUUUGGGGGUCAGCACCCACCAGUGCCAGGGCACUACUGGGAGGCUGGGACCUGACCAAAGCCCAUGGUGUCUGUGGCCUGAGGACAGGGUGUCUUGGGGCCAUGAGGACAGGCCACCAAUGGCCGUUGGGUCAUAGGGCCUGAGCCCCAGUGUUUGUCCUUCCCUGGCUCCUUCUGGUUCAGUCCCAUCAGGGCUCUGGAUCCCAAGACGCAGCAUCCAAUGUUCCCUCCAGGAAUCCUGGUGGCUUGGCUUACUUUGUCAUGUUUCAUCUGAUAGCAAAAAUAUCAGAUCGGCUGCACAGAAAAAAUGGCUCAAAGUGCUUAAUGACCAGAAGAAAUCUAGGAGCAGCAAGAAGAUGCCUCAGCUGCUCUACAAGGGAGUCCCAUUUCAGGUGUGGGGCUGGGUAUGGUCAUUCCUGCUGGAUGUCUAGAAGGUGAAAAACAAGGACCUAGGAAAAUACCAGAUACAGCAUUUCCACCGUCAUCCAGAGCAGGACAAACACGCCAGGUGGUGUCAGGAGCCUAGGUCUCCAGCUGGAGGGAACGUCAACCCUGCAGUGGGAGCCCAUCAUGCAUCCUAGGCACAGAUGCUAAUGUAGGCACCGCAGACCAUAAAGGAAAACAGCAAGAGGUCCCCAGCAAACAUCUACAGAUGGCCCUGGACAUCAGCCACAUUCGGAGAAACAUGUCAUGUUCUGGGAGGGCUAAGGCAUCGAGUAAGGCCUAUGGGGCUGGAGGAUCCCAGGGCAGGUGGGGCAAUCCAGAGCUGUGGGGGCUUCUGUGGGAAUUGGGAGGUCCCAAGGCAGAGGUAGGGGUUCCACAGGAGGAGUCACAGAGCCACCAAGGGUUCUCUUGGCCCAGGGAGCAGUCAACACCAUGGACUGAACACCCACUGGGCUAAGCCCUGGGCCAGGCUGGGGCAUGUGGGGCCAGGAGGCAGCUCAGAGUGGGAGACAGAGAGACAAGUGUGCUCAGAGGGCACCCGUAUCUGCAUAUAACGUGGUCCUGAGUUUCUGCCUGGGAAGUGCUUCCAGGGUUUCAUAUG